UCCAAGCCUCUCGCAACGAUUACCCGUUAACCUGGGCAUCCCGGAAGGGAGCAGCCACAGCGGGAACAUUGUGUGCCGGGGUGUGGCUGGCAGGG
rnacentral:SRP_RNA from 5 species